CUCAGCUCUUACAAACGGGCUAUUAGUGAAACAGUUAGUACAAGUCUUUUCUCAGUUAGCUUUCGAUACCUUUCGUCUAGAUCCUGCGAUAACUUUUGUUAAUAAUAUCCUAAAGUAGCCUUUGUUCGCAGUUCUAUUAUUUUUUAAAUUUUUAUUAAGGUAUCCCUAUGUCUAAAAUGACUGGUUCAGUAAAAUGGUUCAACGAAACUAAAGGUUUUGGCUUCAUCACUCAAGAUAACGGUGGCGCAGACGUAUUCGUUCACUUCAACUCUAUCGUUUCUGAUGGCUUCAAAACUCUAGCUGAAGGCCAAAAAGUAAGCUUCGACGUUGAGCAAGGCAAAAAAGGCCCUCAAGCGUCAAACGUUACAGCUCUAUAAUUAAGCUUUAAAACGUUAUAAGUAUUUUAAGGUGUGGUGAGCUUUCACCGCACCUUUUC
rnacentral:sRNA from 1 species